GGCGCUGUGACACGGGGCUGAGCCCGGGAUCCUGCGGGCAGCCGCUUUGUUUUUCUAAAAGCUGACCCGGCACGGAGCGGCCCGCAUCUGCUUCCCUGCGCUUUCCCCUCUCUCUGAGAAGGGUGCGGUCAGCUUACUGCUUUCUACCUCAGAGAAAAUACGUCAAGUGAAAUACUGUCAGCACAUGAUGCAAAUGAGUCGGUUUUUGAUAUUUAGCAGUAUUCCAGCGCAUGUUCUGUGGUUUAAAGAAGGACUUAGAAGGUCCUCCUUGCUGGAACGCCGGGGUGCUGCCCUUAGUGAUCUUCUGCUGCUCAGUUUAUUAAGCUGUUUUUACGCUUACACUCUCCAUCCCUUUGCUUCAGAUAGUCACGGUUCCGUACCUGGAUCGUCUGCCAAAGAAAUGUUGGUGAAAGUGCCGUCCUCCUCAUCUACGGGU